GGCAAUGGACGAAAGUCUGACCGAGCAACGCCGCGUGAGUGAAGAAGGUUUUCGGAUCGUAAAACUCUGUUGUUAGAGAAGAACAAGGACGUUAGUAACUGAACGUCCCCUGACGGUAUCUAACCAGAAAGCCACGGCUAACUACGUGCCAGCAG
rnacentral:rRNA from 1 species